rnacentral:rRNA from 1 species
UACAGAGGUCCCUAGCGUUGUUCGGAUUUACUGGGCGUAAAGGGUACGUAGGCGGCGAGGCGUGUCGAGUGUGAAAUCUCCGGGCUCAACCCGGAAAGUGCGCUCGAAACUACCUUGCUCGAGUAUGGGAGAGGGAAGGGGAAUAUAGGGUGUAGCGGUGAAAUGCGUUGAUAUCCUAUAGAACACCGGAGGCGAAGGCGCCUUCCUGGAACAUAACUGACGCUAAGGUACGAAAGUCGGGGGAGCAAAC